GGUGGCGGUGCCGAUAUUUGCAAGCACUUCGUGCAGUGCUCUUUCAUUCUCUUUAUUUCGAUGGCCAACCGAAAUCUCUUAACCAUUGUUCAAAACUUGUAGAGCGGAAAAGGCGUGCGCUUCCACAAAACGAGCCGAAA
ensembl:ncRNA F25H10.8 ncRNA